UGUUGCACGCAGCACGUCGGUUGUUUUUAAACAGGCAUGAGAAAAGGCAGCCCAGGGUCCUUAACGGCCAUCAGCGUUAAAAGGAGCAAAGAACUACAACAAACAGAAGGUCAGGAUGGUGCAGAACAUACUAAAUAAAUUCGUCGGCGCGAAGUAUAUCACUAUUCUAAAGACGUGGAUACCGAACAUGGCUGCCUGGGGAACAGUUGGUGGAGUGGCGCUCGUUUACUUCACAGACUGGCGAUUAAUUCUGGACUAUGUGCCAUACGUUAACCAGAAGUUCAAAAAGGAUGAAUAGAGUCCCACACAACUAAAUUCUACAGGACCAGAUCGGGGAAUGGGCACAUGGAUGGGUUGAUAACGCAACACAAGCUUAAGAGGGAUGCCCUGGCUCGAAAAUCAGUCAAUGAGGGCUCGCCAGUAGUUGGGACUUCAAGAUGCACUCUGUAUACGUGUGGGUUUCGAUCCAGUUUUAUUUAAUGUGAAUAAAUCUUUUAACUUGGUCCGAUUUGUCCAGUUAUUCAGCAAAAAGCCAACUAAUUAAAUGUUUUUGCUUGAAUUUACUGUUAAAAUGGGUUAAAAAAAUCGAUUUGUUCAAUGCUGAAUAAAAGUGGAAAUACUGUCAUUUUGUUUUUCAUGGGGCAGUUUUAAGACAGGCAGUUGGAUCUGAAAAACCUUAUAUUUGCCAACUCUUGAUGUUUAUUUGUACAUUAAAGGAAUAUGAAAUAAAAAAUAUAUUGAAGACAAUGUUUAUGCGAAGUAUGUCAUUGUAUUUCCUUAUGCAUGCUGAAUCACACACAUCCACCGAGGUAUUGUGAGCCUAGCACACUGGGAAUACCUCAGGUUCGCCCAAACAUUAUUCUCUUUUUAUCAACCAGACUGCGAAAUUUGCGUGGAUAAUGUCUUUCAUUUCUCCCAUCGAAGGGGGAGGGGACUGAAUGAGGAGAGAGGAGAAGGGAUUUAACAUAGCGAGAGGGAGAAAACGAGAUAGUGUCUUCAAGAUGGAUAAAAACGACAGAGGAGAAGAGCA